rnacentral:rRNA from 1 species
AUGGCUCCUACUGAGGCUGAGGCUGAUGUAGAGGAGGGAGAAGAGAAGAAGAAGAGGGAAAGGAAAGCAGCCGGAGCUGCUUUCACGUGGAUUCAAACUCACUUUGCGACGUGCCCUCCGGAUGCCACUGAUGAUGUGAUCCAGACACAUGCUCGUGUCUACAUGUGGUAUGUUGUGUCGAGGACUUUGUUUCCUGGCUCCACUGGCAAGAACGCUCCAUGGAUGUGGCUGAAGGCGUUGACCGUCUUCGAUAGCAAAUGGAGCUGGGGUUCAGCGACUCUUGCCUACUUGUACCGACAGGUAGUUGGUCUGUUUUGUGAUCAACUCAUUUCUUCAUUAGCAAUGCAAGCUUGCUGUCAAGUUAACAUUGUUUUUCUUUCAUAUGCAGCUGGACGAUGCGUGUUGCAGGAUCACAGAUAG